AAUCCCCCUGACCGACAGCCUCUGCAGGAUUAUCUUCUUGGGCUUUAUUACAUUGACUAGAGUCAAUGUUUAUCCCUCAUUCGGCCGACAUCCCUUAGCUGUCUUUCCUUUUUUAUUUUUAUUCUUUUCAUUGAUUCAAAGGAAGAAGCAGCUUCUUCAUUUCUCUUCUCGCGAUCACCCCCACCGAACAUCCCCCGCAACUCUUGGCCACAUGUCCGCUACCCAGCCAUCUUUGAUCAAUCUUCAGCAAGCGAGACCCCUGCUCUUGACUCCAUCAUUUCAUCGACUCAUCCACCGCUUCACUUUAGCCCGCCAGCUGCUCCGAUUUCAUCGGUUUGCUCUCAACCAAAGCUAUUCCAGCUUCGACUCUGCCACGCCCGUGACGCCACGCUGCAGCUCUCUUCGUCCGCGCAUCUUCAGUUCAUCCAGUGAAGCUUGGCCCAGCGAAGCGUGUUCUUCAAGACCCAGCAGAAGGCCUCAACGUUGACCGAAGCAAAACCCCGAGUCCUCAGCUUCUGCCAGCAACGUCCAGCCUUCUUCAGCUCGCCAACCUCCACGAGUCUGCUGUCCACCGAAUUCAGCUCAUCAAAGUCAGCGCCAAACGGUUAAUUGACCGCAUGCCCCAUGCCAGCGAAGCCAUUGUUGACCGUGAAAUCUCCACUGGAGAAAUCCCCACACGUCCGAGGUCUUGCUGCUUCAGUCUACCCAGCUGCGAGGCUGCCUCUUCGGUCAACAAGCAAUUGGCCCCAUCGAUUCUCCUUCUGCAGCUCUCGUCUUCGGUACCUCCACCGAAGCAAGUCUCGGCAGCCCAUCUUCGGGCUCUCUUCGUGGGCCAGCUACGACAACCCAUCGAGUCCAUGAAGCAGGCCGUGAGAUCCAGCAGUCCUCAAGCCCAACAAAGCCAGUAAUCUCGACUCAUCAGCAGCUUUGUUACUUCCUUGUUCAGUCCAGUUGAAGCCGCAAGCCCAGCGGCCCAUCCAGUGUCUUCAGCCCGUAAUUUCAGUUUCAGCAGUCAGCCCAUCAGUUGAGCAGUUCGGCCCAGCUUGCAGCAAGCCCAUUUGAAGUCCAGCCCGCGAAAAAGGCCCAUUUGCAGCCAAGCCCAAGCCCAAGAGUGAGCCCAGUCCAGCGCAAGAACAAAUCUCAGUUGAGCUGAGAUUUGUUGGGCCCAAGUUUAAGGCUCGGUCCAAGCCCGCUGGUGUCGUCGAAAGCUUGAUUUCGGCCGCCGUCGCGGUGUUCUGUUCUUCGCAAAUCAAGCCCGUAGAUGAGCCUAUGAAGAAGGAACUAGAAGAGGACAAUGAGCCGGUAAAAGAUGAAAAGCUUGAAGGAUGUGAGCUUAGUGAAGAAGAGUCAGAAGAGAAUCAGGAUGAUCCUGAGUACGACCCGAAUGAGGAUUGAGAUCCCAUCCUCUUUCGUAAACCUUGUGUUGUGUAUAUAGAGUGUAACUAGAAUGUUAUGAAUAGUCUUGUAAAUAUACUUUGAGUUAUGUCAUGUAUAAAGGUUCGGUUGUGGAUUUCAAUUUGAAAAAUAUGGCUUUGCUUUUCUAUCCCAUUGUAUUAUUGUC